GACGAACGCUGGCGGCGUGCUUAACACAUGCAAGUCGAACGGUAAGGCCCUUCGGGGCACACGAGUGGCGAACGGGUGAGUAACACGUGGGUGAUCUGCCCUGCACUUUGGGAUAAGCCUGGGAAACUGGGUCUAAUACUGGAUAGGACAAUGCGCUUCACGGUGUGUGGUGGCAAGCUUUUGCGGUGUGGGAUGGGCCCGCGGCCUAUCAGCUUGUUGGUGGGGUAAUGGCCGACCAAGGCGACGACGGGUAGCCAGCCUGAGAGGGUGACCGGCCACACUGGGACUGAGAUACGGCCCAGACUCCUACGGGAGGCAGAAGCGGGAAAUAUUGCACAAUGGGCGCAAGCCUGAUGCAGCGACGCCGCGUGAUGGAUGACGGCCUUCGGGUUGUAAACCUCUUUCAGUAGGGACGAAGCGCAAGUGACGGUACCUACAGAAGAAGGACCGGCCAACUACGUGCCAGCCGCCGCCGUAA
rnacentral:rRNA from 1 species